UUCGUCAUCUAAUGUGGAACAUAACACCCAGUUCUUACCAGUCCGAGACAGGGAUAACUAUUUGAAUUUUUAUACACAUUAUGCUCGGCCAAUGCAUGAAAUCACAAUUUCAACAAAUGACAAGCCAAAACUUCUGAGUCAGCUGACUUCCUUACUUUCUGAGACUGGGUUGGACAUUCUAGAAGCACAUGCUUUUUCGACAACAGACGGCUAUUCGUUGGAUGUUUUUGUUGUUGGUGGUUGGCCAAUAGAGGAGACGAAGAAAUUAAAACAUGAACUAGCAAAGAAAAUUCAGAAACUCCAGCAACAUCAAUUGAAAGAAAAUGGGAGUCUUCCUACUAGUACUACUGCAAAGCAAGAGCAAACCGGGAUGAACUUUAUCUGGAGAAUUGAUGCCGGGCGUCUGAGAUAUGAAAAGAAAAUUGCAUCUGGACCUUUGACUGAUUUGUAUAAAGGUACAUUCUGCAAUCAAGAUGUAGCUAUCAAGGUUUUAAAGCACGAGAAUUUGAAUGAAAAUAUACAAAGGGAGUUUGCUCAGGAAGUGUAUAUCCUAAGUAAAAUUCAGCACAAAAAUGUAGUUAAAUUUGUUGGCGCUUGUACAAAACCCCCAAACCUGUACCUGGUCACAGAAUACAUGCCUGGUGGAAGUAUGUUCGACUUUUUGCAUAAACAGAAGACCGCCCUUGCUCUUCCAUGUUUACUCAAAGUGGCCAUUGAUGUUUCCGAAGGAAUGAAAUAUUUGCAUCAGAAUAAUAUCAUACAUCGUGACCUUAAAGCGGCUAAUCUUUUGAUAGAUGAGAAUGGGGUAGUUAAGGUUGCUGAUUUUGGUGUGGCUAGAGUGCACAAUCAGUCUGGCAUAAUGACUGCAGAAACAGGAACUUAUCGGUGGAUGGCUCCAGAGGCAUGGAUGGGGCUGUUUAAGGACACGAUAGGCAGCAGUUUUUGAUGUAAUAAGAUGAAUCUAGACAGGUUGGAAUGAGAAUGAUGAUUUUUUUUUUUUUUUCUGAUAAACAAUACUUAAUGCUAACAUGGUUUCAGUACUGCUUUUGGUUGCCCAUGCGCUUUGCAAAAGAAAAAUGUAACAAUAUCCAAUAAAAUACAAUGGUAGGCACUCUGGUUUUUUUCAUGGAGGCUUUAGUUGCUUAUGUAAAACAACUAAAAAAACUGAUAUUUCUUGUAUUCUACUGCUUACUGUAUUGAUUAUUAUUAAACUUGUGAUUCCCUUGACAUAUGGAAGGUUAUUGAACAUAGACCAUAUGAUCACAAAGCCGAUGUCUUUAGCUUUGCCAUUGUGCUUUGGGAACUGCUCACAGGAAAGGUAGCACCUUUCCCUUUUACUUUCUCUUGUUUGAUAUUCAUGGAACCAAAAACUAGUUUCCAAAUGAAAACUGAUUUACUCUCUCUACUCUGUAAACUAUAUUAACCUCUUCAUAUUGAAGAAGUACUGAGCAGAAAUUCCUAGGUACUUUGAUUCGUAUAGGAUUAAUAGAUAGUGUACAACAUGGCAUAGAGUAGAACAAAAGUGAGUAACAGUAUUUAACAGAAAUGGAGAACAAAGACUUAGUAGGUAUACUUUAGACAUUGUUUUAUCAGUAUUUUCGUUCAGUAUUACUUUACUUGCUCAGACUUCACAUCUUUCGCCUAUGUUUUAUGACUACACGACAGCUUCCUUAUGAGCAUUUGUCCCCAUUGCAAGCAGCAGUAGGAGUGAUCCAGAAGGGUUUAAGGCCUAAAAUUCCAAGCCAUAGUCAUUCAAAGUUGGUGGAAUUGCUUCACUGGUGUUGGCACCACGAUUCAUCUUUGAGACCCAAUUUCUCAGAAAUUCUGGAAUUUCUGCUACGUGUGACCAAGACGGUUACUGGGGAAUGUGAAGGCUAGGGAAUGCAUGAAAAUUAUAUUCACCAAACUCACUGUAUGUACACAUAGACAUGUGUGAUUUCUCAAUUUAAAGUAAAGGUUCGUGAUUGGAUUAUGAAGUUGAUAUUAGCCUUUUGGGUAGAUGUAUAUAAACUUGGAUUUAUAAAUGAUAGGAAGAAAAACAAAUAACAUAAUUGUAUUGUGAAAGUGGUGUAUGUUGCACUUAUUCUAAGUUAA